AUUAGAGAGUGAAAGAAAAGAAAUGACUGAACGAGGCCACACAAGAUCACAUUCGGCCAGUAAACGACAGUCUGAACAUUUACUUGAAUGAUGAGGUGACGAAAGCCAGCCGAGAGUCCAGACUCAAUGAAAGAUGCAGAAGUCAGAAAUUACCUGAAGAUGAACCAAUCGCUCCUUCCUCCCCCGGCCUCUCCUUCCCUUUCAAGUUACCUCAGCUUCAGAAUGAGCUGUGGUUGCAGCAUGCAGCAAGGUAUAUUGGAACAUCCCAGAGGAGCUUGAGAGGCCUUCUUACUCCCGUUCUCCAUUGAAUUAGCGCUAACUCACUUUGACUUUGAAGAAAAAACAACAAUUGAUCUGUGCAUCAGCGGCCCGGUGAGGGAGAGAAAAGAUUCCUGGAGGAGGGCAUUGACUCGCUGAGACAGAUCAAAGCCGAGCCGGGUAAGCGAUCACAACUUCUUUCUAAUCAGGAGAAAUGGAACAGCUGUAACAUUGUAUUUUCUUAAACUGCUCCUUGAAUCUUCCCCAACAGCCUCCUAAAUUCAACUUAGAUGAGUCCAAAAUGUGAGAUAUUUGGAUCUGGAGAUUGCAGAAGCCACAAAAGUUCUCUCUCGGAAAGAGAGGCUGGUGUGGAUUAUGCCAUCGCACAAAGGUAAAAGAAAAGCACUUGGGACUCCAGACGGCUGACAUUCAACUGUCAUUCAGUUCGUACCCAAUUGGACAUUCAAUUGUGAAUGAAGGGCCUUCAAACUUUUUCAGUCCACUUUGGAGGAAAGAGAGAUGGAGCAAUGAGUGUUGCAUUUUUAAGAUCAGUUAAGUACCAUAUUCAUUUAUUCAUGUACUUGGUUAUAAUUGCAAAGUAUAUAAUCAUUAUGGUGUAUAGUAUGGAGUUAUUCAUUUUAAUUUUACUUAAUGCAUUUUAAUGUAGUAAGGACAAUGCAACAUUUAGAACUUUAGCUACGGUACUUUUAGCAUUGGUUAAAAAGGACACCAGUCUGCAUUUACUCACCCUUAUGUCGUUCCAAACCUGAAUGACUUUCUUUGUUCUGUGAAACAUAAAAGAAGAUAUUUUGAAGAAUAUUGGUAUACCAACAAUUUUGAUUCCCGUUGACUUCCAUUAUAUGAAGAAUACAAAGGAAAUCAAUAGGAACCAAAACUGUUUGGUUACCAACAUUCUUCAAAAUAUUGUUUGUGUUCCGCAGAAGAAAGAAAUACAUACAUGUUUUCAACGACUUAAGUAAAUAAUGACAGAAUUUAAAUGUUUGGGUGGACUAUCUUUUUAAUGCAGAUAUUUUAAUUAAAAAAAAAAAUUCUAAAAAAAAAAAAAAAAAAAAACAGUUGGAGAUGAGAUAUUAUACUGCAACUCCUGCUGCAUUUGGGCUACUUUCAUGGUCGUUUUUUGUACUUUGAGUAACUUCAAAAGCCAUUUUAAAGAAUGUUGGUUUCCAAACAGUUUCGGUUAACAUUGUCUUCCACUGAACAAAAAAAAAAAAUACAAAGGAAAUCAAUAGGAACCAAAACAGUCUGGUCAACAACAUUCUUUAAAAUCCCUUGUGUAUUCGGCAGAGGAAAGAAAUGCAUUCAGGUUUGGAAUGACUUAAGUAAAUAAUGACAGAAUUUUCAUUUUUGGUGUGACUAUCUCUUUAUGUUAUUUUUGUUUAACACGUCUUCUCUUUCUUGUUUUUUUCUCAAAAAACAGUUUAAGAUGAAAUAAUAUACUGCGCGAGUCACAUGGGUUCCUUUUAUGAUACUUUUUGUCCAAUUUGACAACCACUGGUUACCAUUUUCUUUCAUAUGCUUUAAGUUCUUCAUUUAGAUUGCAAGGCUAAUUAAAUUUCUUAUAGCAUGGUAUAUUUAUUCAUUCUUCCUUCUUGAGUGCGCAUUAACAGCGAUUUGACAAAAUAACUACUCUACACAUGUUCU
ensembl:lncRNA